UCCACUGCCAUGUCUUUUCUCCUUCAGGAA
rnacentral:piRNA from 1 species